GCUCCGAAGACAGCUAUGCGAGGAGGGCAGGCGCAUGGGCUAAACACUGGGCGAAACUCUCCCAACUCACUCUCUCUGAACGCGAACAUCGACUCGAGGACUGUGGAAGUUGUCAGGCUAUCCGCUCUCUGCCGCUCACUUCAACUAUACCGCUACCGGACGCCCCCGUGCGAGACUUCACCUCUGCCUGUCACACGGCUCCCGCCGCCGGGGACUGGAAUUUACAGGAGGCUGGGGCUUUAUUAAAGGAACGCAUACUUGAAGGGGAACAAUACAUAUCUGGAUAUCCUCAGGCUCUGACGGUGUUGCUACUGAGAAACGUUCUCUUCUUGAGUAUGACUGGUGUUCGUUCGUAAGCAGGCUGGAGUAGGCUACUAAAAGUGGAGUCAUCAUAUACCGUAGUUCAUAUUUUCUUUUGUUUCACGCGCUCUGUCCGGAGCAGCGUCUGUCAUCUCCCGAACUGGAUUACUUCGCAUGUGUUUAUUUUGCGGGAAAUUGAGACGCUGCGUAAUCGUUUGGAGACGGAGCAACUAAUCGCGAAAUAAUUUGUAUUGUACACCUGUUUCUUAUUGCUCUGCUAGCUAUGUCAUCGGAGCAAACAACUGUCUCCACCGCCGUGAACAGAGGAGCUAAGAACCAUAUCCGAGACCGAGGAGCGAACCGAGCGGGUUCUUUUGGAACGGACCGAAAAACUUUUCUGUGGAACUUGUUGUGAAAUGAGUCAACGACAAAAAGGAACUCCCGUGCCAAGUGUAAUUUAACGGAGGUGGAAUUUGUCUUAUUUUCUCGGGAGGAAACUCAUACUUGUAUAAUCGGUCGUUCAUAAAGUUGUUCUCUCAACGAAGAGACUUCGUUCUAGAACUGGAACUCUGGAGAAAGUUUUGGAACUGGAACUCUGGAGAACGUUUUGGAACGCCGAACGCUCAGGGGGAAACGGUCGCGCAACUAAACGAUACAAACUGACAGUAAACACAGCUGUAUUGGUCUGCUCCAGCCAGACAGCUGUUAAUGAGACAGGGAGGAAAGAGACGUGUGAACUCAGCCACA
ensembl:lncRNA